rnacentral:rRNA from 1 species
CCUACGGGAGGCAGCAGUGAGGAAUAUUGGUCAAUGGGCGGAAGCCUGAACCAGCCAAGUAGCGUGCGGGAUGAAGGCCCUACGGGUCGUCAACCGCUUUUGCACGGGGAUAACACCCUCCACUUGUGGAGGUCUGCAGGUACCGUGCGAAUAAGGGCCGGCUAAUUCCGUGCCAGCAGCCGCGGUAAUACGGAGGGCCCGAGCGUUAUCCGGAUUCCUUGGGCUUAAAGGGAGCGUAGGCGGGCGUCCAAGUCAGCUGUAAAAUCGCGGGGCUAAACCGCGCCCCGCAGUUGAAACGGGACGCCUUGAGUUCACAACAGGCAGGCGGAAUUCGUGGUGUAGCGGUGAAAUGCAUAGAUAUCACGAGGAACCCCGAUUGCGAAGGCAGCCUGCCGGGGUGCGACUGACGCUGAGGCUCGAAGGUGCGGGGAUCAAACAGGAUUAGAUACCCGAGUAGUC